rnacentral:rRNA from 1 species
AUUGAACGCUGGCGGCAGGCUUAACACAUGCAAGUCGAGCGGGGUGAUGGUGCUUGCACUAUCACUUAGCGGCGGACGGGUGAGUAAUGCUUAGGAAUCUGCCUAUUAGUGGGGGACAACAUCUCGAAAGGGACGCUAAUACCGCAUACGUCCUACGGGAGAAAGCAGGGGAUCACUUGUGACCUUGCGCUAAUAGAUGAGCCUAAGUCGGAUUAGCUAGUUGGUGGGGUAAAGGCCUACCAAGGCGACGAUCUGUAGCGGGUCUGAGAGGAUGAUCCGCCACACUGGGACUGAGGCACGGCCCAGGCUCCUACGGGAGGCAGCAGUGGGGAAUAUUGGACAAUGGGGGGAACCCUGAUCCAGCCAUGCCGCGUGUGUGAAGAAGGCCUUAUGGUUGUAAAGCACUUUAAGCGAGGAGGAGGCUCUUUUGGUUAAUACCCAAGAUGAGUGGACGUUACUCGCAGAAUAAGCACCGGCUAACUCUGUGCCAGCAGCCGCAGUAA